UGACUGUACGUUGACUCACUGUUCAAGACCUCUCCCCUUCACUUCACUCUACUGCAGGGUGGGAGAUGCAACAAUGGCCUUGAGAACAGCAGGAAGUGUGUUGGUGGUCUUUCUCUGGUCUGUAGCAGUGGUACUAGGUCAGUAUGACUGGAGUGUGACCUACACCAAGAAUAGUAUCUGUGCCUUGAAGGGG